GAUGAACGCUGGCGGCGUGCCUAAUACAUGCAAGUCGAGCGAAUGGAUUAAGAGCUUGCUCUUAUGAAGUUAGCGGCGGACGGGUGAGUAACACGUGGGUAACCUGCCCAUAAGACUGGGAUAACUCCGGGAAACCGGGGCUAACACCGGAUAACAUUUUGAACCGCAUGGUUCGAAAUUGAAAGGCGGCUUCGGCUGUCACUUAUGGAUGGACCCGCGUCGCAUUAGCUAGUUGGUGAGGUAACGGCUCACCAAGGCAACGAUGCGUAGCCGACCUGAGAGGGUGAUCGGCCACACUGGGACUGAGACACGGCCCAGACUCCUACGGGAGGCAGCAGUAGGGAAUCUUCCGCAAUGGACGAAAGUCUGACGGAGCAACGCCGCGUGAGUGAUGAAGGCUUUCGGGUCGUAAAACUCUGUUGUUAGGGAAGAAUAAGUGCUAGUUGAAUAAGCUGACACCUUGACGGUACCUAACCAGAAAGCCACGGCUAACUACGUGCCAGCCGCCGCCGUAA
rnacentral:rRNA from 1 species